AUUGAACGCUGGCGGCAGGCUUAACACAUGCAAGUCGAGCGAGCGGAGGACGGGUGUGUAAUGUCUGGGAAACUGCCUGAUGGUGGGGGAUAAGUAAUGGGAAUGGUAGCUAAUACCGCAUUCAAUCAGAUGUGUCCAGAUGGGAUUCGCUAGUAGGUGGGGUAAUGGAUCACCUAGGCGAAGAUCCCUAGCUGGUCUGAGAGGAUGACCAGCCACACUGUAACUGAGACACGGUCCAGACUCCUACGGGAGGCAGCAGUGGGGAAUAUUGCACAAUGGGCGCAAGCCUGAUGCAUCCAUGCCGCGUGUGUGAAGAUGGCCUUCGGGUUGUAAAGCACUUUCAGCGAGGAGGCGUGACUCGCAGAAGAAGCACCGGCUAACUCCGUGCCAGCAGCCGCGGUAAUAC
rnacentral:rRNA from 1 species